rnacentral:lncRNA from 1 species
GGGGACCAACUUUGUUUUUUUUUUUUUUUCACAUGAGGACAUUCUUUGUUAUUAGGAAUGGUUGGUAAAGUGUGUUAGGAGUGUUGGAGACCAAUUUUUUACCAUUUUCUUCUUCCAGGAAAAUACAUUGCAGGAUGCCACAAGACCUCUAGACUUUGCCCAAAUCGGAUCACAAUCUUUCCAAUCUUACCAAGUUUCACAAGAGUCACAAAC